rnacentral:rRNA from 1 species
AUUGAACGCUGGCGGCAGGCCUAACACAUGCAAGUCGAACGAGUGGCGGACUGGUGAGUAAUGUCUGGGAAACUGCCUGAUGGUGGGGGAUAACUACUGGAAACGGUAGCUAAUACCGCAUACCAUCAGAUGUGCCCAGAUGGGAUUAGCUAGUUGUUGGGGUAACGGCUCACCAAGGCGACGAACCCUAGCUGGUCUGGGAGGAUGACCAGACACACUGGAACUGAGACACGGUCCAGAGACCUACGGGAGGCAGCAGUGGGGAAUAUUGCAAAAUGGGCGCAAGCAUGAUGCAGCCAUGCCGCGUGUAUGAAGAGGGCAUUAGGGUUAUAAAGUACUUUCAGCGGGGAGGCGUUACCCGCAGAAGAAGCACCGGCUAACUCCGUGCCAGCAGCCGCGGUAAUAC